rnacentral:rRNA from 1 species
UACGGGGGGGGCUAGCGUUGUUCGGAAUUACUGAGCGUAAAGGGCGCGUAGGCGGCCUACUAAGUCGGACGUGAAAUCCCUCGGCUCAACCGGGGAACUGCGUCCGAUACUGGUGGGCUCGAAUCCGGGAGAGGGAUGUGGAAUUCCAGGUGUAGCGGUGAAAUGCGUAGAUAUCUGGAGGAACACCGGUGGCGAAGGCGGCAUCCUGGACCGGUAUUGACGCUGAUGCGCGAAAGCCAGGGGAGCAAACGGG